UCCCGACACGGGGAGGUAGUGACAAGAAAUAUCGAUACGGGGGCAAAUAUGCUCUCGUAAUUGGAAUGAGAACGCUAUAAAUUCGCUAUCAAGUAUCAAUUGGAGGGCAAGUCUGGUGCCAGCAGCCGCGGUAAUUCCAGCUCCAAUAGCGUAUAUUAAAGUUGUUGCAGUUAAAAAGCUCGUAGUUGGAUCUCAGUGUGACGGCGCCGGUCCACUUCAUCGUGGUACUAUCGCAUGUUAACCUUUCUCACGGAUGAGUUUGAUACUCUUCAUUGGGUGUCUAGCUUCUAUCCGCGACGUUUACUUUGAACAAAUUGGAGUGCUCUAAGCAGGCUUCUCGCCUGAACAUUUAUGCAUGGAAUAAUGAAAUAUGACCUGAUAAUAUUUUCGUUGGUUUGGUGCGAUCAGGUAAUGAUUGAGAGGGACAUACGGGGACAUUCGUAUUGUGGCGGGAGAGGUGAAAUUCUACGAUCGCUACAAGACGCACUAAUGCGAUGGCAGCUGUCAAGCGUGUUUCCAUCAAUCAAGAGCGAAAGUCAGAGGUUCGAAGACGAUUAGAUACCGACCUAGUUCUGACUGUAAACCAUGUCGGCUGGCGAUCUGCUGAUUAAUGAUUUCACAGACCAGUGGGCAGCCCUCGGGAAACCAAAGCUUUUGGAUUCCGGGGGAAGUAUGGUUGCAAAGCUGAAACUUAAAGGAAUUGACGGAAGGGCACCACCAGGAGUGGAGCCUGCGGCUUAAUUUGACUCAACACGUGGAAUCUCACCAGGUCCGGACAUAGUAAGGAUUGACAGAUUGAGAGCUCUUUCUCGAUUCUAUGGAUGGUGGUGCAUGGCCGUUCUUAGUUGGUGGAGCGAUUUGUCAGGUUAAUUCCGAUAACGAACGAGACUCUAGCCUGCAAACUAGAGACCCCUCACACGUUGAGAGGGUGACUUCUUUGAGGGACAAUCGGCAUUUAGUCGAACGAGAGAGAGCAAUAACAGGUCUGUGAUGCCCUUAGAUGUUCUGGGCCGCACGCGCGCUACACUGAAAGAUUUAACGGGUAUAUCACUUUGCUCGGAAGAGUUGAGUAACCCUGCAGCGUCUUUCGUGCCAGGGAUCGGGGAUUGCAAUUAUUUCCCGUGAACGAGGAAUUCCUAGUAAGCGCGAGUCAUCAGCUCGCGUUGAUUACGUCCCUGCCCUUUGUACACACCGCCCGUCGCUACUACCGAUUGGAUUAGUACGUGAGGAGUUUGGACCUGGUAGUGAUCAGGGGGAAACCCUUGGUUUCAAUCGGGAAAGAACGCCAAAUGUAUUUGUCUA
rnacentral:rRNA from 1 species